UCGGAUCUCAGACGUGCCACGCUCGUGCUGUAUUGCCACGGGGCGUAUUGAAAUGACUACAAGGUUACGUACUAUAUUUGAUAUUCUAAUUUUAUUUAACGAACUUAAUCUUUGUUACUGUCAUCACAUUGCCAAAGCCAACAUCAUACCCGAAACCCGGGCUAAACACGGAAAAUCGGAGUGACAGCUCUAUUGUAUGAUGUCAUGCUCGUCAGAGGGAGGAGUACAAUGGCAGCGAGAUGUAAACUGGAGUAAUGCAGCCUGCUCCAUGAUGAUUGACAGCUUCACCUCUCUUUCAUUGCCCUGAGGCUGAUUGACAACAUGGUUCAUUUCAUAUUUAGCGAGCAAGCUAAUGCAGCAAAUUCCUACCAGACAACUCUGGGCCCUGCCGAGACACUGCUCCCCAGUGGACUCUCAGAUCCCAAAAUAAAUGUUUUUCUAUCUGUGAGUCUAAAACAAUCCAAAUAUAAUUAAGUGUGUCUGAAUGUGGUGCCGGGCAGAAACUGAAUCACCUCAGUGGAACUGUUGAACAUUUACCAAGUUGAAUAUAUGUGUAUAGUUAUUUUAAAUGUGAGAUGUCUUUCUCUUUUGUCUCGCUUUAUAAAAUCAUGAACCUGAGACAGAGAGAGAGAGUCAUAUUGAGUCAUAUUGAGUUGUCAUAUUGUAACUUUCACACUGAAUAAUGAAUUAUAAAAGAGAAAGUUUGCUCACUGACAUGCUAAUGUCACUGCAUGACUUAUAAAAGAAAAUAUCCACAGUAAAGUUCUGAUUAUUUUACACUGAUGAUAGUUAAUUUCCAAUUAUUUCAUCCAAAGACUUUCUUUUACCAGAACUGAUGUUUCUUAUAAGCCUAAGCCACAUUAUGCUGUGUAUUGGUCCUGGUAAAUUAAAACCACUGAGUUAAUGAAUGCCUCAGGAUGCUUUGUAAUGUUUAAAGCCAUCUUCUACAGACAUCACAGUCACAUCCAACUGAGGUAAAGAAGGAAAAGACAUAUAGUUUUGGUCUGGAACAUGUGAACUCAGUAAAAGCAUAAAUAAAGUAUUACCAGUUUGCUGUCUUCACACCAAUGAAAGAUGGAAAAGAGACAUGGUUUAUUAAUGUGUGUGUGUAUGUGUGUG